AAAAAGAACCUGAAACCGUGUACGUACAAGCAGUGGGAGCACAGGUUUACCUGUGUGACUGCGUACCUUUUGUAUAAUGGGUCAGCGACUUAUAUUCUGUAGCAAGGUUAACCGAAUAGGGGAGCCGCAGGGAAACCGAGUCUUAACCGGGCGUUAAGUUGCAGGGUAUAGACCCGAAACCCGGUGAUCUAGCCAUGGGCAGGUUGAAGGUUGGGUAACACUAACUGGAGGACCGAACCGACUAAUGUUGAAAAAUUAGCGGAUGACCUGUGGCU
rnacentral:rRNA from 1 species